AAGGAGGAUGCAUGAAAGAGAUAUAUGCUUGCUUGCUUUGUUUCAUAGCAACUUAUUCAGAAAUAGUACUGCUUCAUAGUAUAUAGUAUAAUGCUACGCCUCGAGGAAAAAAACAGAAACAGUCUAACUAGUUUUAGAAGUUUAUGUUAGGGGUCAAAGUUUUUCAUUAUAUUCGCAAAACAGAUGAUGGUCUCUUGAUCUGCUCUAACAACAAAUAGUAGUCUCUCAUAAUAAAUUAUGUGCUUCAUCUUGUUUCAAGCUAGGUUAUAAGAACUCACAUUACAUAUAACUGGAGUAUCAAUGGAUCCCCAAUUGCAAGCUAGUAGUAGUAGGAGUAUUACACAAAGGGACCUGGAGCGCAUGCUACUUGAUGAAGCUGCAGAGCCCAAGGCCCUUCCGUUCUCACUUUUGGAGAAGAUCACAAACAAUUUCUAUUAUAAGAAUGAAAUUGGUAGCGGUGGUUUUGCAGUGGUUUAUAAGGGAAUGCUUAAGAAUGGGGAGGUCGCCGUAAAGAGGUUACGCGAUGCAUAUAAGUAUGAGAAAGAAUUCCUCCGAGAGGUUGAAUCUCUCAUGAAGGUGAAGCAUAAAAAUAUAGUACAGUUCCUAGGGUAUUGUGUUGACAUACAAGGGAAGGUGGAUAGGUACAAUGGAAAAAUUAUUAUGGCCGACGUACAAGAAAGAUUGCUUUGCUUUGUGUAUCUACCUAACGGCACUCUCAAUAAGCAUAUCAAAGGUAGGAUCAUGUGCUGCCUAACAUUUCUCUUCACUUCUAUUAUCUUCAUUGAAGGUGACUUGGUUCAGGCAGCACAUGCAUAUGAUUGAAAUCAUUUACCAUGUUGUAAGCUAUGGUACAAUGGAAAUUAAAGAGGUGAAAUGUCUCAGUUACGCACUAAACCCCCUAACUCAUCUCUCAUAUGUAGACACAUCUUGUGGGACUGAAUGGAAAACAUGUUAUCAUAUAAUCAAGGGGAUAUGUGAGGGCCUACAUUACCUCCACAGUAUAAAUAUUAUGCACCUCGACUUGAAACCAUCAAAUAUAUUGAUGGAUGAUAAUAUGAUACCAAAAAUAACUGACUUUGGUGUCUCGAGGAACUUUGAGGAAAUGCAAACCCAAACCAUUGCUACAAAAAUGAUUGGAACGAUUGGAUAUUUGGCGCCAGAAUUCCACACCAAUGUAAUCACACGCAAGUUUGACUUGUAUAGUCUUGGUAUUAUAAUAAUGGAGAUAUUGACCGGAAAGAGGGAGUCUCAACCUGUUGAGAGUGUGCUUGAAAGUUGGAACAGUAGGUUGGAGCUAUCACAGGGAAACCAGCAUUAUGAACAAAUACGAGCAUGCGCUGAGAUUGGGAUUGAGUGCAUACAAGACGAUCCAACAAAGAGACCAGCUAAUAUGACACAUAUAAUGGAUAGGCUUGCUGAAACAGAAAGAACAGAGCCCCUCUGCGAAUGCUUGGAUGACACGGCGGCCCGAGAGGUCGCCUCGUUCCUUCACCUCAAAUCCAACUGGGCCGAUCUGGACAAGGCCGAGAAGCUACUGCUAGCUGUCGAGAAGAGGGUGAGGGCGCGAGUCACCGCAGAGGUGGACAAGCUGAACCUCUGUGACCCUCAGGUGCAGGUCUGGCUGAGGCGUGUCGAAGAGCUACAACUGGAUGCCAUCGAUGAGGACUACAGCCAGUUGAGGAAGUAUUCUUGCCUCGGCCAGUGCACCAUCCAUGCUCACCAGUGUACAUCGAUCAGCAGGCGUGUUCUUGAGGCUCUAGAUGAGGCAAAUAAACUUAUCGAAGAAGGGAGGCGGUUCAAGAUAUUUGGAUUCAAGCCCCUGCCGAAGAUUGUUGAUCCCUUGCCUCAAAUCGAGACGUUUGGUUUGGAGACCAUGCUGAGUCAGCUCCAUGAUCUGUUUGAGAAGGGCGACUCGAACAUAAUUGGUGUGUGGGGUCAAGGAGGUGUUGGUAAGACGACGCUUCUACAUGUUUUCAACAAUGAUCUUGAAAAGAAGGCCCAUGAUUAUCAGGUUGUUAUCUUUAUUGAAGUAUCCAAUUCAGAGACGCUAAACACAGUGGAGAUACAACAGACUAUCUCUGAAAGGCUCAACUUACCGUGGAAUGAUGCGGAGCCAAUUGCCAAACGGGCCAAAUUCUUGAUAAAGGCACUUACUAGGAAAAGAUUUGUAAUCUUGCUUGAUGAUGUAAGGAAGAAAUUCCAACUGGAGUAUGUUGGUAUCCCACAGCCAGAGCAAGCUGAUCCUCACAACACGUUACCGAGAAGUAUGCUUUCAGAUGAAUGCACAAAGAAGCUUGAUUGAGAUGCGAAUUUUGGGUAACGAUGCUUCAUGGGAACUGUUCUUGGGCAAGCUGAGCAAGGAGGCUAGUGCAUCAGUUGGAUGGCUUGGUUCCCAGAAUGAUACUAGAGAGCACGCUAUGAAAAUAGCCCAAAGUUGUGGAGGCCUACCACUUGCACUCAAUGUCAUUGGGACCGCUGUGGCAGGCUUGGAAGAGGGAGAGUGGAGAUCAGCUGCGGAUGCAAUUGCUACCAAUAUGAACAAUAUUGAUGGUGUGGAUGAAAUGUUUGGUCAGUUGAAAUACAGCUACAAAAGUCUCACACCCACUCAACAACAGUGUUUCCUAUACUGCACUCUUUUCCCAGAAUAUGGAUCUAUCAGUAAAGAGCAACUUGUUGAUUAUUGGUUAGCCGAAGGUCUGCUAUUAAAUGACUGUGAAAAGGGUUAUCAGAUAAUCCGCAGUCUUGUUUCAGCCUGCUUGUUGCAGGCCAGUGGCUCAAUGUCAACAAAGGUAAAAAUGCACCAUGUAAUUAGGCAACUGGGGCUUUGGUUGGUCAACAAGUCAGAUACAAAGUUUCUUGUUCAACCAGGGAUGGCCUUGGAUAAUGCUCCAUCAGCUGGAGAAUGGAAUGAAGCUACAAGGAUCUCCAUCAUGUCUAAUAACAUCACCGAGGUUUCUUUCUCACCAAACUGCAAAAAUGUCACGACUUUGUUGAUGCAGAACAACCCAAAACUGAACAAAAUGAGUUAUGGAUUUUUCAGGACUAUGUCGUCCUUGAAAGUGCUGGAUCUUUCUCAUACUGCAAUAACAUCACUUCCAGAAUGUGCUACAUUGGUUGCAUUGGAGCAUCUGAAUUUGUCUCACACACACAUUAUGAGAUUACCUGAGUGCCUGUGGUUACUGAAAGAGUUGAAGCAUUUGGAUCUGAGUGUGACUAUUGCACUUGAAGAUGCCCUGAACAACUGCUCAAAGUUGCACAAGUUGAAAGUGCUCAAUCUCUUCCGUAGCCAGUAUGGUAUCCGUCAUGUUGACAACCUAAAUCUGGAUUCUCUGAAGGAACUAGUGUUCCUUGGAAUCACUAUUUAUGCAGAGGAUGUGCUACAGAAAUUGAACAUGCCUCGUCCUUUGGCAAACUCAACACAUCGACUAAACUUGAAGAAUUGUGCAAAGAUGAUAUACAUCAAAAUCUCUGAUCUAAACCACAUGAAGCACCUUGAGGAGUUGUAUGUUGAAUCAUGCUAUGACCUGAACACAGUAGUUGCUGAUGCUGAGCUUACAACUUCACACUUGCUGUUCCUGACCCUGUCAGUUCUUCCCUCAUUGGAAAGUGUCGUUGUUGCACCAAUGCCCCAUAAUUUUCAGUAUAUCCGCAAAUUGUUCAUUUCACAGUGCCCCAAGCUGUUGAACAUCACAUGGGUGCGAAGACUUCGUCUUCUUGAGAGGCUUGCCAUAUCUCAUUGUGAUGGGAUGCUCGAAAUUGUUGAAGACGAUCAUGCUUCAGAUGAACAAGAUCAUGGUAUGGUAGAAACUUCACGCAAUGACACAGGGCAGAGUGACUUCCCAAAGUUGAGAUUGAUCGUAUUGACAGGACUUAAGAAGCUGAGAUGUAUUUGUAAACCAAGAGAAUUCCCAUGCCUUGAGACCCUUCGGGUGGAGGAUUGCCCAAAUCUGAGAAGCAUCCCGCUGAGCUUCACACAUAACUAUGGGAAACUGAAGCAGAUAUGUGGUUCAGUUGAUUGGUGGGAGAAACUGCAGUGGGAAAAUAGGGAGGAGGUGGCAUGUCUGGACAGCAAGUACUUCAUUCCAAUCUGACAGAACCCCAAUUUCAAUGGCUUUUGUAUGGCAUGCAGGUGGCUUACUUCUGUCUUUAGUCUUCACACAAAUAAGAGGUCUCCUCUUAAAUUGUUUAAAAUUUGUAUAUGUGACAGGCAUAGCUUCUGUACAUUGUUAGUAUUGUAUUCAUGUAUACAAUAUGAUAUACUCUGUAAUUUGCUGGUAUUGCAUUUGUGUAAUAUGAAUUGUUCAUUUAAAUCAUAGUCCAACAAGGCUCUGUGACUUUCUGUCCU
rnacentral:rRNA from 1 species